rnacentral:rRNA from 1 species
UACGAAGGGUGCAAGCGUUAAUCGGAAUUACUGGGCGUAAAGGGUGCGUAGGCGGUUCGUUAAGUCUGUCGUGAAAUCCCCGGGCUCAACCUGGGAAUGGCAAUGGAUACUGGCGAGCUAGAGUGUGUCAGAGGAUGGUGGAAUUCCCGGUGUAGCGGUGAAAUGCGUAGAGAUCGGGAGGAACAUCAGUGGCGAAGGCGGCCAUCUGGGACAACACUGACGCUGAAGCACGAAAGCGUGGGGAGCAAACAGG